rnacentral:rRNA from 1 species
UGCAAACUGCGAAUACCGGAGAAUGUUAUCACGGGAGACACACGGCGGGUGCUAACGUCCGUCGUGAAGAGGGAAACAACCCAGACCGCCAGCUAAGGUCCCAAAGUCAUGGUUAAGUGGGAAACGAUGUGGGAAGGCCCAGACAGCCAGGAUGUUGGCUUAGAAGCAGCCAUCAUUUAAAGAAAGCGUAAUAGCUCACUGGUCGAGUCGGCCUGCGCGGAAGAUGUAACGGGGCUAAACCAUGCACCGAAGCUGCGGCAGCGACACUAUGUGUUGUUGGGUAGGGGAGCGUUCUGUAAGCCUGUGAAGGUGUACUGUGAGGUAUGCUGGAGGUAUCAGAAGUGCGAAUGCUGACAUAAGUAACGAUAAAGCGGGUGAAAAGCCCGCUCGCCGGAAGACCAAGGGUUCCUGUCCAACGUUAAUCGGGGCAGGGUGAGUCGACCCCUAAGGCGAGGCCGAAAGGCGUAGUCGAUGGGAAACAGGUUAAUAUUCCUGUACUUGGUGUUACUGCGAAGGGGGGACGGAGAAGGCUAUGUUGGCCGGGCGACGGUUGUCCCGGUUUAAGCGUGUAGGCUGGUUUUCCAGGCAAAUCCGGAAAAUCAAGGCUGAGGCGUGAUGACGAGGCACUACGGUGCUGAAGCAACAAAUGCCCUGCUUCCAGGAAAAGCCUCUAAGCAUCAGGUAACAUCAAAUCGUACCCCAAACCGACACAGGUGGUCAGGUAGAGAAUACCAAGGCGCUUGAGAGAACUCGGGUGAAGGAACUAGGCAAAAUGGUGCCGUAACUUCGGGAGAAGGCACGCUGAUAUGUAGGUGAAGUCCCUCGCGGAUGGAGCUGAAAUCAGUCGAAGAUACCAGCUGGCUGCAACUGUUUAUUAAAAACACAGCACUGUGCAAACACGAAAGUGGACGUAUACGGUGUGACGCCUGCCCGGUGCCGGAAGGUUAAUUGAUGGGGUCAGCGCAAGCGAAGCUCUUGAUCGAAGCCCCGGUAAACGGCGGCCGUAACUAUAACGGUCCUAAGGUAGCGAAAUUCCUUGUCGGGUAAGUUCCGACCUGCACGAAUGGCGUAAUGAUGGCCAGGCUGUCUCCACCCGAGACUCAGUGAAAUUGAACUCGCUGUGAAGAUGCAGUGUACCCGCGGCAAGACGGAAAGACCCCGUGAACCUUUACUAUAGCUUGACACUGAACAUUGAGCCUUGAUGUGUAGGAUAGGUGGGAGGCUUUGAAGUGUGG